rnacentral:rRNA from 1 species
UACGUAGGGUGCAAGCGUUGUCCGGAAUUAUUGGGCGUAAAGAGCUCGUAGGCGGCUUGUCGCGUCGGGUGUGAAAUUCCAGGGCUCAACCCUGGACCUGCAUUCGAUACGGGCGGACUAGAGUUCGGUAGGGGAGACUGGAAUUCCCGGUGUAGUGGUGAAAUGCGUAGAUAUCGGGAGGAACACCAGUGGCGAAGGCGACUACCUGGCCUGUUCUUGACGCUGAGGCGCGAAAGCUAGGGGAGCAAACGGG